rnacentral:rRNA from 1 species
GUAGGUGGCAAGCGUUGUCCGGAAUUAUUGGGCGUAAAGCGCGCGCAGGCGGUUCUUUAAGUCUGAUGUGAAAGCCCACGGCUCAACCGUGGAGGGUCAUUGGAAACUGGAGAACUUGAGUACAGAAGAGGAAAGCGGAAUUCCACGUGUAGCGGUGAAAUGCGUAGAGAUGUGGAGGAACACCAGUGGCGAAGGCGGCUUUCUGGUCUGUAACUGACGCUGAGGCGCGAAAGCGUGGGGAGCAAACAGGAUUAGAUACCCUGGUAGUCCACGCCGUAAACGAUGAGUGCUAAGUGUUAGGGGGGUAUCCGCCCCUUAGUGCUGCAGCUAACGCAUUAAGCACUCCGCCUGGGAGUACGGCCGCAAGGCUG